GUAUAAAUGAUAGCCCUAGCGGUAAAGGUCUCUCCUGACAAUGCAAAAGAUGUAAGAGAGACCUUUACCGCUAGGGCUAUCAUUUAUACACAACCAAACAAACUAUAAUAUGCUGCUGAUGAAAUGUGAUCUGGUAUCAGAAAUGGUCAAAUGUAAACUGUAGAAUGUCCCUUAAUGUCAAUGAAACGUGUUAACAGCAUGGAAGCUAUCAACAA
rnacentral:sRNA from 1 species